rnacentral:rRNA from 1 species
AACCCUGCCUUGUAGCGGGGGUAUAACUAUUGGAAACGAUAGCUAAUACCGCAUAACAAUGGAUGAACACAUGUCAUUUAUUUGAAAAGGGGCAAUUGCUCCACUACAAAGAUGGACCUGCGUUGUAUUAGCUAGUAGGUGAGGUAACGGCUCACCUAGGCGACGAUACAUAGCCGACCUGAGAGGGUGAUCGGCCACACUGGGACUGAGACACGGCCCAGACUCCUACGGGAGGCAGCAGUAGGGAAUCUUCGGCAAUGGGGGCAACCCUGACCGAGCAACGCCGCGUGAGUGAAGAAGGUUUUCGGAUCGUAAAGCUCUGUUGUAAGUCAAGAACGAGUGUGAGAGUGGAAAGUUCACACUGUGACGGUAGCUUACCAGAAAGGGACGACUAACUACGUGCCAGCAGCCGCGGUAAUACGUAGGUCCCGAGCGUUGUCCGGAUUUAUUGGGCGUAAAGCGAGCGCAGGCGGUUUGAUAAGUCUGAAGUUAAAGGCUGUGGCUCAACCAUAGUUCGCUUUGGAAACUGUCAAACUUGAGUGCAGAAGGGGAGAGUGGAGUUCCAUGUGUAGCGGUGAAAUGCGUAGAUAUAUGGAGGAACACCGGUGGCGAAAGCGGCUCUCUGGUCUGUAACUGACGCUGAGGCUCGAAAGCGUGGGGAGCGAACAGG